UACGAAGGGGGCUAGCGUUGCUCGGAAUCACUGGGCGUAAAGGGCGCGUAGGCGGAUCUUUAAGUCAGGGGUGAAAGCCUGAGGCUCAACCUCAGAAUUGCCUUUGAUACUGAAGAUCUUGAGACCGGAAGAGGUUAGUGGAACUGCGAGUGUAGAGGUGAAAUUCGUAGAUAUUCGCAAGAACACCAGUGGCGAAGGCGGCUAACUGGUCCGGUAUUGACGCUGAGGCGCGAAAGCUAGGGGAGCAAACGGG
rnacentral:rRNA from 1 species